AUGAUAAUAGCCAACAAGACCUUACAAACAAUGAAAAAUAAAAGAAAAUCAGGACGCAACCCUAGACGGCAUAUACAGAUUGAAGAAGGAAAGCUACAGACUACAAACAUAUUGUAUAAGCACGAAACCAGGAGUCGUUCCCUCCAUCCUCCCCGCUCCCCCUCCCCCUCCCCGCGUAGCUGGCCACUCCGGCCGCGGCUGCCACCAACCAGCCUUGAUGGGGUGCAGCCCUCGGUCUCCUGGAUGCGGGAGCAGCGGCUGUCCGCCUGGGGGUGGCGUCGCUCUGCCCAGCGGUCCGUUGGCUGCCCUACUUCGUGGGAACAGGUUCCAGCCGAGCGGGCGGCAGAUCCAGAUCAGCCGCCGCGUAUCUUGCAGCGCGGCGAGUCCUCUUUCGUUGCCUUCACUGUCGGACCGAUGGAUCUGGCCGCCCAUCCCUCAUCCCAGCACCAGCGCCUUAAAUCCAUCGUUGGUGUGCCCUUUGGCAAUCAAUUCCUCUCCCAUCAGGAGGAUGGGGAGGGAUGGACGGAGGUCGUUUCGAGGAAAAGUCGGAGCGCUGGCAUGAGGCCGACGGGCAACGCGAUGCGCUCAAAGGCUGCCCGCUCGGACCGCAUUCACUCUUCCCAGCGAUCCCAGGACCGCGCUGCCUUCUUAAGAAGGUUCCGCGGCAAAUGUUUUCGUUGCCUGAGCAAACACCACCGGAGAAAGGAUUGCAGAGACCCACUGAGAUGCGUUUUCUGUGAGCUCCAAGGGCAUUUCGGGAGAGAGUGCCCAAGCCGCCGCAAGCUGCUGGAGGCCGGCCGUGCCGACCCGAAGCCGACGUCCACCAGGGUGCCGGUGCGGGAGCGACUCUGCUUCGACCCUCCCUCCCGCCCCGCCCCACCGCCGACCCCUCCGAUGGUGGGCUUCUCCCACACCGACCCGUCCAGAAGGCUGCGCGACAGCAACAAGAUGGUGGUUGCUACCCCGCCGCUCGAGCACGCGGAGUACGUUCUUCGCCAGCACACGGUCACCCUCACGGCCGCGGACCGGACGCAUGCCACGAAGCCCAUGGCGGUGGGCCGGGCCAUCGACGCUCAGCUCUGCACUCCGCCCCAUCUGCUUCGUGUCACGGCGCACCACCCUGAAGCCUUUCUGGUGCAUUUCGAUCAGCCGGCGCACCGGGACAAUGUUGUCCAUCGCGGCAUCAUCAAGAUGGACGGCGGCAAGUACUUCGUCCGAGCCUGGCACCUCGACGACCACGCGGCCAUCCUGAAGCUCAACCUCCAUGUGCGCAUCGUCGUGGAAAACCUUCCCAUGCAGUUCUGGAGCCUGGAGGGGGCGGACGAGGCGUUCGGUGACUUCGGCCGGAUCGAUCGCCUCGACAGCCGCAUGUACGAGCGUGGGCACACUAAGACCUUUGCAUGCUGGCUGUGGGGCUAG
rnacentral:rRNA from 1 species